rnacentral:rRNA from 1 species
AUGGGAUUCCCGGCGCCGGUGUUUCCAGAGUGCGAGGCGCCCAGGUUGCUGCUCAGCCUCCUCGUCCUGAUCGCCCGCCUCCGCCGCCUCUACUCCUGGCCGCUCCGCCUCAUCGGCGCCGGCGUCGACGACGACCUCAGCUUUGACCACCCCACUGCCUCCGGCAUCGCCGACCACCACCGCCGACAGGAGCUGUACCACGAAGACCACUGCCUCGUGGAGCUGGAGGAGCACUCCCCGGCCAUGCGCUUCGACGCGCUCUCCAGCGCCAGAGGCGAAGAUCUGCUGCUGCCGGAGAGCUGCGCGGUGUGCUUCGGCGAAUUCCACGGCGCCGCGCGCGUGCGUCGGCCGCGCGGGUGCCGGCACGUCUUCCACCGUGGCUGCCUCGACCGCUGGGCCGCCCACGGCCGCCGCACCUGCCCGCUCUGCCGGGUGCCGUUUCUCCCGCCCUUCCUCCUCCCGCUGCCGCUCCUCCCGGCGUCGUGA